rnacentral:rRNA from 1 species
UACAGAGGGUGCAAGCGUUGUUCGGAAUCAUUGGGCGUAAAGGGCGCGUAGGCGGUUGAUUAAGUUGAAUGUGAAAGCCCGGGGCUCAACCUCGGAAGUGCAUUCAAAACUAGUCGACUAGAGUUCCGCAGAGGAUGGUAGAAUUCCCAGUGUAGAGGUGAAAUUCGUAGAUAUUGGGAGGAAUACCAGUGGCGAAGGCGACCAUCUGGACGGAUACUGACGCUGAGGCGCGAAAGCGUGGGUAGCAAACAG